rnacentral:rRNA from 1 species
GACGAACGCUGGCGGCGUGCCUAAUACAUGCAAGUCGAGCGAACUUGCGGGAGCUUGCUCCCAAAAGUUAGCGGCGGACGGGUGAGUAACACGUGGGCAACCUGCCUGUAAGACUGGGAUAACUUCGGGAAACCGGAGCUAAUACCGGAUAAUUCUUAUCAACUCAUGUUGGUAAGCUGAAAGACGGCGUAAGCUGUCACUUACAGAUGGGCCCGCGGCGCAUUAGCUAGUUGGUGAGGUAACGGCUCACCAAGGCGACGAUGCGUAGCCGACCUGAGAGGGUGAUCGGCCACACUGGGACUGAGACACGGCCCAGACUCCUACGGGAGGCAGCAGUAGGGAAUCUUCCGCAAUGGACGAAAGUCUGACGGAGCAACGCCGCGUGAGUGAUGAAGGUUUUCGGAUCGUAAAACUCUGUUGUUAGGGAAGAACAAGUACGAGAGUAACUGCUUGUACCUUGACGGUACCUAACCAGAAAGCCACGGCUAACUACGUG